rnacentral:misc_RNA from 1 species
GAAAUACGAUACUUGGUGUGAAUUACAGAAUCGCGUGAACCAUCGAGUCUUUGAACGCAAGUUGCGCCCGAAGCCUUAUGGUCGAGGGCACGUCUGCCUGGGCGUCACGCAUCGCGUCUCCCCCAACCCACCUCGUGUGGGGUGGGGGGAGGAGGAUGGCUUCCCGCGCCUCACCGGGCGUGGCUGGCCUAAAAAUGGAGCCUCAGGUUAUGCAUUGCUGCGGAAAUUGGUGGUGGACAAGGCCUUGGCCUCGAAUGCAAUCUUGUGUCGUGCAGUACAUGGCAAUUGUGGGCUCGUAGGACCCUGAGUUGUUCCCAAUUGGAAACAAACCGUUGCGACCCCAGGUCAGGCGGGGCUACCCGUUGAGUUUAA